rnacentral:rRNA from 1 species
GGUGAACGCUGGCGGCGUGCCUAAUACAUGCAAGUCGAGCGAACGGACGAGAAGCUUGCUUUUCUGAUGUUAGCGGCGGACGGGUGAGUAACACGUGGAUAACCUACCUAUAAGACUGGGAUAACUUCGGGAAACCGGAGCUAAUACCGGAUAAUAUUUUGAACCGCAUGGUUCAAAAGUGAAAGACGGUCUUGCUGUCACUUAUAGAUGGAUCCGCGCUGCAUUAGCUAGUUGGUAAGGUAACGGCUUACCAAGGCAACGAUGCAUAGCCGACCUGAGAGGGUGAUCGGCCACACUGGAACUGAGACACGGUCCAGACUCCUACGGGAGGCAGCAGUAGGGAAUCUUCCGCAAUGGGCGAAAGCCUGACGGAGCAACGCCGCGUGAGUGAUGAAGGUCUUCGGAUCGUAAAACUCUGUUAUUAGGGAAGAACAUAUGUGUAAGUAACUGUGCACAUCUUGAAGGUACCUAAUCAGAAAGCCACGGCUAACUACGUG